rnacentral:rRNA from 1 species
UACGUAGGGUGCAAGCGUUGUCCGGAAUUAUUGGGCGUAAAGAGCUCGUAGGCGGUUUGUCGCGUCGAAUGUGAAAACCCGGGGCUCAACCCCGGGCCUGGCAUUCGAUCACGGGCAGACUAGAGUUCGGUAGGGGGAGUCUGGAAUUCCUGGUGUAGGCGGUGAAAUGCGCAGAUAUCAGGAGGAACACCGGUGGCGAAGGCGGGUCUCUGGGCCGAUACUGACGCUGGAGGAGCGAAAGCGUGGGGAGCGAACAGG